CCUACGGGGGGCAGCAGUGGGGGAUAUUGGACAAUGGGGGGGAACCCUGAUCCAGCGACGCCGCGUGAGUGAAGAAGUAUUUCGGUAUGUAAAGCUCUGUCAGCAGGGAAGAAAGCAAUGACGGUACCUGACCAAGAAGCCCCGGCUAACUACGUGCCAGCAGCCGCGGUAAUACGUAGGGGGCAAGCGUUAUCCGGAAUUACUGGGUGUAAAGGGUGCGUAGGCGGGCUGUUAAGUCAGCGGUAAAAGCCCGGGGCUCAACCCCGGCGAGCCGUUGAAACUGGCUGUCUUGAGAUGUCGGGAGGUAUGCGGAAUGCGCAGUGUAGCGGUGAAAUGCUUAGAUAUUGCGCAGAACUCCGAUUGCGAAGGCAGCAUACCGGCGGCGAUCUGACGCUGAGGCACGAAAGCGUGGGUAUCGAACAGGAUUAGAUACCCUUGUAGUC
rnacentral:rRNA from 1 species